UUUCAUAUAUCUUUUAUUUUUAUCUUUAAUUUAAAUUUUUACUCAUUACAUUUUUACCUCACCCAUGUUAUGCGUAGGCUCAGCAGGGAGGAACGGUUUUUAAUAAUCGAGUCCUAUUUGUCAACAAAGUCAACAAAGUCAUAUGCCACCUCAAAAGCAACAUGGCCGCACAGAAGCAGGUGUCUGUUAAACGUAAUCUGUGUAAAAACGAAGCUUCUAGUGCUAAUUCGCAAAGUGAUUUCGAUUCAGAUGAUAGUGUAAGGGACCGAAAUUAUAAUCCCGAUGAUAGCAGCUCCGAUUCUUUUACGGACGACGAUUUAUCGUCCCAUUCCCAAAAUAAUGAAUCGGAUGUAUCAAGAGGCGUCCUAGAAACACCCGAUAAAGCUACUCCAAAGAAGAAAAAAGGAAAAAGUCAAAACCAAGCGUAACCUGGGACACUGCUAUGAGAGCAGUAGAGGAAAGAAAGUUGACAAUAGAAUGAUUGGUCCUCCCUGUAAAUAUCAGAAGAAGUGCAGAGAAAAGAUGGUUGGAAAGGAAAACCAAAUUUUUAACGAUUUUUGGAAUUUGGGUUCUUAUAAAGGAAAAACACUUAUUUAUUUGGAUGUAUUAAAGCUGUGCCGAAAAAACGCUCAUAUAGAAAAAAAAAACAAAAAGGCAAGAAUCCUCCAGAAAAAUUAAUUAUCAAUAUUUUAUAAAAUGAAAUGGGUUAGAUCUACAACUCUGUAAGGAAGAGUUUUUAUCAGUGCAUAGAUUACAAAACUCCUCUACAAGGGUACGACUUAUUUGCAAACAUAUUGCAGAGGGAAGAAGUGUUCCCAAAAAUGACGAACGUGGGAAGAACCACAACAGACCCAAUAGGAUUCCAUAUGAGCAAGUACAAUCUGCUCAUGACCACAUCAAAGCUUUUCCAAAGUAUGUUAGCCACUACAGCAGGAAAAAGAAUCCCAACAGAGUAUAUUUAGAUCACGACAUUUCCAUCUCAUCUCUGUGCAAAGAUUUUUACAUUGACUGGAGUCAAGAUAAAAACAUUACACCAGUAAAAGAAGAUAUGUAUCGAAGCAUAUUCUAUAAUAAAUACAAUAUAGGAUUUAAACUGCCAAAAAGCGAUACUUGUCACACAUGUGACUCUCUAAAUAUUUCGAUUAAGUCCAAAAAUCUCAUCCAUUCUUCUCUAAGAGACCAACAUACAAAAUUGACGAAAAACAAAUAAAAACACAAAGUCACG